UAGGGAAUAUUGAGCAAUGGAAGCAAUUCUGACCCAGCCAUGCCGCGUGAAGGAAUACAGCCCUAUGGGUUUUACACUUCUUUUAUUAUAGAGUAACCGGAGGUACGUGUACCUCCCUGCAAGUAUAUGAUGAAUAAGGAUCGGCUAACUCCGUGCCAGCAGCCGCGGUAAUACGGAGGAUCCACGCGUUAUCCGGAUUUAUUGGGUUUAAAGGGUGCGCAGGCGGAUCAAUAAGUCAGGGGUGAAAAAUUUCAGCUUAACUGGAAUCGUGCCUUUGAUACGGUUGGACUAGAGGAUAAUUGACGUGACUGGAAUGUGAUGUGGAGCGGUGAAAUGCUUAGAGAUGUCACAGAACGCCAAUCGUGAAGACAGGUCACGAAAUUAUUACUGACGCUCAUGCACGAAAGCGUGGGGAUCAAACA
rnacentral:rRNA from 1 species